ACUCAACAUAUAUAAAAUUGGAUUAGAUUCGUCUUUUUAAAAACAAGCCUCAACCCUAUGGGUCCUUCGGGUGUCAGUGGAAGUUUGAUGAUUGGUGGUCGGUCCAUCCGUGAUUUACCGGAGUUU
rnacentral:ncRNA from 1 species